UACCGGAUACGUCCGUUCGGGAAGAAAGUAUUUAUCGCUAGAAAGAUUCGGCCCGCGUCUGAUUAGCUAGUUGGUGAGGUAACGGCUCACCAAGGCUACGAUCAGUAGCUGAUCUGAGAGGAUGAUCAGCCACAUUGGGACUGAGACACGGACCCAAACUCCUACGGGGAGGCAGCAGUGGGGAAUAUUGGACAAUGGGCGCAAGCCUGAUCCAGCCAUGCCGCGUGAGUGAUGAAGGCCUUCGGGUUGUAAAGCUCUUUUGUCCGGGAAGAUAAUGACUGUACCGGAAGAAUAAGCCCCGGCAAACUUCGUG
rnacentral:rRNA from 1 species